rnacentral:tRNA from 1 species
CAAAAUGUAGCUUAACUUAAAGCCCCCUGCUUACACCAAGACCCUGUCCGUUGAACUCGGACCAUUUUGAG